ensembl:lncRNA
AUGCCAGCGUGGGGGGCCAAGACGGGGGUUAACUUUGCAAAUUGCAAGAACAAGCUGGGCGCCUACAUUCCACCAGCCGCAGCCUUCCUCGACCUGUCCUUCAUGCAAACGGUUCCCCGACGACACAUCUCCAACGGGCUGGCGGAAAUGUUGAAGAUGGCCCUGAUGAAACACAGAGGCCUCUUUGAGCUUCUCGAGACGCACGGCCGCAUGCUGCUAGACACUAAAUUCCAGGCCGACAACAGCGUGUACGGAAACCACUGCUUACAGGCGGCAUCGCAGGCGACUCGUAUAGCCAUUGUAACCAUGCUGGAAGAGCUCGCCCCCAACCUGUGGGAGGAUGACCUGGACAGACUGGUUGACUUUGGCCAUCUCAUCAGCCCAGCAUUAGAAAUGGUAAUGAUGCCUCAUGGCAAACCUGGCUCAACACUAUAUGAGGCAUAUUGUAUGUAUUUGAUUCUGUGUCAGUCCGUAAAACUCGCAGGAAUAAGGUGGCCAUUCUAUUCUCAGGGCAAAUAUCCACAUGCUCACACCAUCUCUUUUGAAUACAGAACGUUCUCCCAUCUCUGCUGCACGGGGAGGCAGUGAACGUCGAUAUGUCGUACAUGGUUUACGUGUCCAGAGAGCGCGGCCUGUUGACAGAAGACGAAAAGCAACGGAUCAUAAGCUGCAUGCUGGGCCUGGAGCUUCCGGUCUGGCAUGCAGCGUUUACCAUGGAGCUCAUACAGAAGUCUCUGCAGGAUAGGCUGAAGCAUUCGGGAGGCCUGGUCAGGAUGCCUCUGCCGGUUGGUCUUGGGAAAGCGGGUAAGGAUCACUUUAACUGGUCAUGGUAGGGCUGGUUGGAGAACUAUUGCUGGUGUGUUUUCACCUCAUAAAAGAGGGACCAGACUGGGUUUUAAUUAAAGGACAACCAACUUAUUUCUUAAAGAUUAAUUUGACAUAGUUAUGAUUUGUAUGCAACUAAUAUAUUAAUAUUGUAUUUAAAGCAUUUUCUUUUGCUCUCCUUUCUGUCGUUGCAGAAAUUUCUAAUGACACACCUUGUGAGAUCCUGCACAAAGCUUUUGUGAAAUGGUGUGAUGAGCUGAGCGGCCCCUCUGACAGCAACUGACUAACCUGAGAUUACCACAGUUUUUUACAUUUUGUAUGUACUGUAGGCGUGUAAAGUCCUAUUCUGGUUUUGUACUCUAGUUAAUCUUCGAAUUAUAAGAAUAUUAUGUAUUUUCACCUCAUGGCAUCAAGAUAACCUCAUUAGCAGUGCUACAGGCAGCUCUCUCUUGUCAGCAAAUUGUCACAAUAGCAAUAUGAAUCUUUAAGUGUUUCAAAGCAGCACAAUCAGAUUGAAGUAAACUAUAUAUUUCUGUCUUGUAACAAGCAGCUUACCAACUACUACACCUACAAGUCUCUGAAGUCUAUUUGAAACCAUCCUCAUUAAAGAUUUGUUCAGUUAUCAAAUCAUGUCCUUGUGUUUUAGUAAGUUGUCGCUGACAUUCUCCUACUUUCAUCUAUUUUCUUUCAAUGCUAUUUUGUUUCUGCUUUUAAACAACAAGGCAAAGGCCAUGCUGCUCACAAAUGAGUCUGACGUAACGUCAAGUUAUUAAACUUGAAUGCGCAUUUCAACAAAGGCCUAGUGUGAAGGCUGUAGGGCCUCCAGUGGGCUGCAGUGUGUGAAGGCUGUAGGGGCCUCCAGUGGGCUGCAGUGUGUGGAGGCUGUAGGGGCCUCCAGUGGACGGCAGUGUGUGGAGGCUGUAGGGGCCUCCAGUAGGCUGCAGUGUGUGGAGGCUGUAGGGGCCUCCAGUAGGCUGCAGUGUGUGGAGGCUGUAGGGGCCUCCAGUNNNNNNNNNNGGGCUGACAUGU